rnacentral:lncRNA from 1 species
CUUCCAUGUCUGACGCCGUUUUGUCAGACCGCCCCUCGGCGCCGUCUGCCACACGGCAGCGCGUCCGGAACGUUGGUGGGAAGAUUCAGCCUCUGCUGCAGUCCCACCAACGUCCACCUCUGAUAUCGUGGGCCAACGUCAUAGAAUAAGAGGCGUUACUUUCAGAGCAGCCCUCGCAUUUUAGACUUCUAUCAAAGAUCAGUAGUUAAUGGUUGCUUUGCAGUUGCAGCAACACUCGUGCUACAAAAGACUAAACGCAGCCAUUAGCAGCCCAGCCCACCAGCAGCAGUACCACAGAUGAAACCUAAUCACUACAAGCACAAGAGUGGCAGAAAAUUCACCACCACACGUAUGUAUGUCCCUGGUGCCUGGCUGCUCGCUUGCAAGCACUUGCGAGAUGGGUGGAGGUCAGCAGGCUUCAAAAGCAGUUGAAAACAAAAAGACAGUUCCUUCUUAAAGGAGAUCCAAUAGCAGGCAGUGCUGGGACACGAUCGCGGACACCAUGGUGUGGUUCCAGCUUGCCAGAAUGAAGGUACAGCGGGCAGCACUCAGCAUCGAAAGCAUGCAAGGUCCUUAGAAGUAAAAGCAGAAGAGGAGAAAGGGGGAAAAGCAAUACAAGGACCCAAAAUGUUCCCCCAUUCCUUCACCCCAGGGAGGCAGCCUGGCUACACUGGAACUAUCUAAAAUUCCC